rnacentral:rRNA from 1 species
AGGAUGAACGCUGGCGGCGUGCCUAACACAUGCAAGUCGAACGUCCUGUCUCGCAAGAGGCAGGGAGUGGCGGACGGGUGAGUACCACGUGGGUCAUCUACCGUGAGGUGAGGAAUACCGGCGAGAAAUCGCCGACAAGACCGCAUAGGCUCGAUGCAAGUCGAGCAAAGCUCUUUCGAGAGAGGGAGCGCCACACGAGGAGCCUGCGCCCGAUUAGCUAGCUGGUGGAGUAACGGUUCACCAGGGCGACGAUCGGUAGCUGGUCUGAGAGGACGAUCAGCCACACUGGGAUUGAGAACGGCCCAGACUCCUACGGGGGGCAGCAGUGAGGAAUUUUCGUCAAUGGGGGCAACCCUGAACGAGUAACGCCGCGUGCAGGAAGAAGGUUUUCGGAUCGUAAACUGCUUUUCUCGGGGAAGAGAAUGGACGGUACCCGAGGAAUCAGCCCCGGCUAACUACGCGCCAGCAGCCGCGGU